rnacentral:rRNA from 1 species
GACGAACGCUGGCGGCGUGCUUAACACAUGCAAGUCGAACGGAAAGGCCCUGCUUUUGUGGGGUGCUCGAGUGGCGAACGGGUGAGUAACACGUGAGUAACCUGCCCUUGACUUUGGGAUAACUUCAGGAAACUGGGGCUAAUACCGGAUAGGAGCUCCUGCUGCAUGGUGGGGGUUGGAAAGUUUCGGCGGUUGGGGAUGGACUCGCGGCUUAUCAGCUUGUUGGUGGGGUAGUGGCUUACCAAGGCUUUGACGGGUAGCCGGCCUGAGAGGGUGACCGGCCACCUUGGGACUGCGGUACGGCCCAGACUCCUACGGGAGGCAGCAGUGGGGAAUAUUGCGCAAUGGGCGGAAGCCUGAUGCAGCAACGCCGCGUGCGGGAUGACGGCCUUCGGGUUGUAAACCGCUUUCGCCUGUGACGAAGCGUGAGUGACGGUAAUGGGUAAAGAAGCACCGGCUAACUACGUG